rnacentral:rRNA from 1 species
UUAAGCGACUAAGCGUACACGGUGGAUGCCCUGGCAGUCAGAGGCGAUGAAGGACGUGCUAAUCUGCGAUAAGCGUCGGUAAGGUGAUAUGAACCGUUAUAACCGGCGAUUUCCGAAUGGGGAAACCCAGUGUGUUUCGACACACUAUCAUUAACUGAAUCCAUAGGUUAAUGAGGCGAACCGGGGGAACUGAAACAUCUAAGUACCCCGAGGAAAAGAAAUCAACCGAGAUUCCCCCAGUAGCGGCGAGCGAACGGGGAGCAGCCCAGAGCCUGAAUCAGUAUGUGUGUUAGUGGAAGCGUCUGGAAAGGCGCGCGAUACAGGGUGACAGCCCCGUACACAAAAAUGCACAUGCUGUGAGCUCGAUGAGUAGGGCGGGACACGUGGUAUCCUGUCUGAAUAUGGGGGGACCAUCCUCCAAGGCUAAAUACUCUGACUGACCGAUAGUGAACCAGUACCGUGAGGGAAAGGCGAAAAGAACCCCGGCGAGGGGAGUGAAAAAGAACCUGAAACCGUGUACGUACAAGCAGUGGGAGCACGCUUAGGCGUGUGACUGCGUACCUUUUGUAUAAUGGGUCAGCGACUUAUAUUCUGUAGACAAGGUUAACCGAAUAGGGGAGCCGAAGGGAAACCGAGUCUUAACUGGGCGUUAAGUUGCAGGGUAUAGACCCGAAACCCGGUGAUCUAGCCAUGGGCAGGUUGAAGGUUGGGUAACACUAACUGGAGGACCGAACCGACUAAUGUUGAAAAAUUAGCGGAUGACUUGUGGCUGGGGGUGAAAGGCCAAUCAAACCGGGAGAUAGCUGGUUCUCCCCGAAAGCUAUUUAGGUAGCGCCUCGUGAAUUCAUCUCCGGGGGUAGAGCACUGUUUCGGCAAGGGGGUCAUCCCGACUUACCAACCCGAUGCAAACUGCGAAUACCGGAGAAUGUUAUCACGGGAGACACACGGCGGGUGCUAACGUCCGUCGUGAAGAGGGAAACAACCCAGACCGCCAGCUAAGGUCCCAAAGUCAUGGUUAAGUGGGAAACGAUGUGGGAAGGCCCAGACAGCCAGGAUGUUGGCUUAGAAGCAGCCAUCAUUUAAAGAAAGCGUAAUAGCUCACUGGUCGAGUCGGCCUGCGCGGAAGAUGUAACGGGGCUAAACCAUGCACCGAAGCUGCGGCAGCGACGCUGAUGCGUUGUUGGGUAGGGGAGCGUUCUGUAAGCCUGUGAAGGUGUGCUGUGAGGCAUGCUGGAGGUAUCAGAAGUGCGAAUGCUGACAUAAGUAACGAUAAAGCGGGUGAAAAGCCCGCUCGCCGGAAGACCAAGGGUUCCUGUCCAACGUUAAUCGGGGCAGGGUGAGUCGACCCCUAAGGCGAGGCCGAAAGGCGUAGUCGAUGGGAAACAGGUUAAUAUUCCUGUACUUGGUGUUACUGCGAAGGGGGACGGAGAAGGCUAUGUUGGCCGGGCGACGGUUGUCCCGGUUUAACGCGUGUAGGCUGGUUUUCCUAGGCAAAUCCGGAAAAUACAAGGCUGAGGCGUGAUGACGAGGCACUACGGUGCUGAAGCAACAAAUGCCCUGCUUCCAGGAAAAGCCUCUAAGCAUCAGGUAACAUCAAAUCGUACCCCAAACCGACACAGGUGGUCAGGUAGAGAAUACCAAGGCGCUUGAGAGAACUCGGGUGAAGGAACUAGGCAAAAUGGUGCCGUAACUUCGGGAGAAGGCACGCUGAUAUGUAGGUGAAGUCCCUCGCGGAUGGAGCUGAAAUCAGUCGAAGAUACCAGCUGGCUGCAACUGUUUAUUAAAAACACAGCACUGUGCAAACACGAAAGUGGACGUAUACGGUGUGACGCCUGCCCGGUGCCGGAAGGUUAAUUGAUGGGGUCAGCGCAAGCGAAGCUCUUGAUCGAAGCCCCGGUAAACGGCGGCCGUAACUAUAACGGUCCUAAGGUAGCGAAAUUCCUUGUCGGGUAAGUUCCGACCUGCACGAAUGGCGUAAUGAUGGCCAGGCUGUCUCCACCCGAGACUCAGUGAAAUUGAACUCGCUGUGAAGAUGCAGUGUACCCGCGGCAAGACGGAAAGACCCCGUGAACCUUUACUAUAGCUUGACACUGAACAUUGAGCCUUGAUGUGUAGGAUAGGUGGGAGGCUUUGAAGUGUGGACGCCAGUCUGCAUGGAGCCGACCUUGAAAUACCACCCUUUAAUGUUUGAUGUUCUAACGUUGACCCGUAAUC